GUAUCUGUGGUCCAGUUGGUAGAGUGUGGCAUUUUCAAAGCCAAUGUCUUGGGAUCGAAUCUCAGCAAAAGCA